UGGAUAUGCAGAAGGUAUUAAACAUAAAUUUAAGGAACCACAGAAAGAGGGAGAAGGAAGUCAAGUUUUGAAAUGUUAAAAUGAUUGUAAAAUUAGUGAAAUGUAGAAAUCUGAAAAGCGUAAAUAAUAUAUUUUUUUAAAAAAAUAAGGUGUAAGUUCGGCCUUCCUACAGAGGAGCUUUGGCCUGUACAUACUGAUUUCUGAUUUUUACUGCCUCUGAGAGGAAUUUUGCUACGGCCAGUGUAACAAUAUCAAUCUCAUCCUCAAUCUUAUCCUCAAGAAGAACCUUGACAUCAAAAGAAUCGGCAAUUCCAGCUUAUUCUGUUAAUAUUGGAUUGAUUAGAUGCUGCCUAACCUGUUUAUACAGACUACAGUGUAAUAAAAUGUGCUUCAUACAUUCAGCAUCCUGGGAACAUGGACACAGCCUUGCUUGGUAUGGGACACCAGCCAAUCUUCCGCUCAGAUGGGAAGACCUGCUGCAAAACAAUAUUUGACAAGGUCUUCUCUAAGAAUGCUGAAAUCACUGGAAUUCUGCUGAUGUGUGCAAUGAUGUCAUAAAGCUGCCUAUUGGUCCUGAGUGUUCUUGAUUGCCGAGGUUCAACGUGGCUUCCUCAUAAAUCACAUUUUUCUUCCCAGGGAAACCAUCAGGAAGGCCUCCAACACUUCACCAUACAGAGUUUGGUGCAUAGCUGUCAACUUACAGAUAUGAAAAUAAGGGACCAGCAGCCUCGAAAAUAAGGGAUCAGCAGCCAAAAUAAGGGAUUUGCCCAGCACAGGUAUGUUCAACUUCUGAGCCCCUCCGAGCUAAAGGCAGAAAACCCAGCCAGCAGCCAAACGAAGCCUCAAGCGGUGGUUCCCACAGCGCAGCAACCCGGCAAAGGGGACGCAGCAAGGAAAACCACCGUCACCUCUCCGCUGGGAAGCGCUGAGCAAAGGCGAGUCCCCAGGCAACAUGGCCGAUUUGAUCGGCACAAGGCAUGCAAGCUCCACCCCCCAGUCGUUCUUAGACUCCUUAUUGGGUGAGCAACGCAGCCAAGCAACACAACUGAAGCUUCCCUCCUCCCUGGCCGGCAGGCAGGGAGGGAGAGGAGCUGCUUCCUUUAAAACCUGGGAAAUUUAAGGGACAUCAUCAAUAAGGGACAGCAGCGGGACACGGCACUGGGAUAAGGGAGUUUCCCGCCAAAUAAGGGACGGUUGACAGCUAUGGUUUGGUGCUCUUUAGAGAAUGAUAGUGACAUCAUGAUUUCAUUAGCAAGAUCCUCUAUGGAAGAGAUUAAAAUACUAACUUGGUAAGCCUGAGGUUUUGUAGGCAACUGAGAGACUUCUCUUUUGUAGGCAACUGAGAGACUUCUCUGAACAACAUGAAGUCCAUUAUAGGCCUGCAAUAUGGUGGUGCAAUCUUGAAUGGUUUCCUUCUGUUUGGGACAGGACUAUGUUGUGAUGUGGUGUCAGGGCCUGCAGCAGCCUUGUGUUACAUUAGCCACUUUCUAGUGCUCAGAGACGUGGGUGGCACUGCGGUCUAAACCGCUGAGUUUCUUGGGCUUGCCGAUCAGAAGGUUGGUGGUUCGAAUCCCUGCAACGGAAUGAGCUCGCAUUGCUCUGUCCCAGCUCCUGCCAACCUAGCAGUUCAAAAGCAUGCCAGUUGGCAAGUAGAUAAAUAGGUACCGCUAUGGCAGGAAGGUAAAUGGUAAGGUAAGCCAGAAGCGGCUUAGUCAUGCUGGCCACAUGACCUGGAAGCUGUACGCCGGCUCCCUCGGCCAAUGAAGCGAGAUGAGCACUGCAACCCCAGAGUCGGCCACGACUGGACCUAAUGGUCAGGGGUCUCUUUACCUUUAGCACAGGGAAGCUGGUUCUUUCUAGAAGGGCUUCUGGAAUGUGCUGUUGUUUCCUCUGACAAUCCCUAAAAAGAAAAAGAAAAACGAAAAACAGGAGCCCAUUCUUUCUGAGGUGUUUUCAAAAUCAGGAUGACACUUCCCAGAGGUUGCAGAAACUGAGUUGUUCUGAAAUACUGCAAGAUUAGAAAUGAUGAAUUUUCACCUAGGCUGAGCAUGUCUUAUGAACUAGCAAUUUCUGGAUUACAACUAUCUCAUCGGCAGCUUUAGCCGCAUACGGGGGGGGGGGGGGAGGCAAUUUAUUACUUUUCUGUGUAAUAAGCAUUUGAGGUAGCUUUACCUGCAAUAAAGAAUGAGAUGACUGUGCCAAUAUUAUGCUUCAAUUUAUACAAGGUCCUGCCAUCCAGUAUGAUUAACAGUCUUGCAACAGAGAGUGGAUGGAAUAAUCAGCUAAUUGAAAAGAGUGGUGAGUUCUGUUACAAAACUUCGGUUCCGUCCAUUAUGCUAAGUUUGCGCAUGAACUUUGAGAGUGUUAAUGAUUAGUAUUAAAAGAAUAGUAAGUGCUUAUUGUAAAAACUUCUUUUCAGGGUUUCUUUACCCUAAAUUUAAUCCUAUAUAUACUUACCUGGUAGUAAGUCCUACUGAACCUACUUCUGAAUAGACAUAACAUACAUAGGGUUGUGCUGUUGAUUUCUGCUCAGUAUACCUUUAUUUAUAAUGCAUGUAAUUAUAGGGGUAAUUGCACCUAUAGUUGCAAAAAUGCAACAAGCAAUGGCAAUGAGGGGCAAUCAUACUUUGAUGAUCAGUUGCCAAUGCUUUGUGAAUGUGUUCACCAAGGAGAAAAGUACACACAGAUUAACAACCAUAUUAUCAAAAACCUUCGGUUUCUGUUACCAGAAAUAAAACUGGUGGGGGUCACUGAUGUUCCUAAUCUCCUGGUUUGGUAUAUGAAUUUCACCCAGCUGAUAUUGCUAAAUCAUAGCAUGAACCAGGAGCCAUGUUCCUUUUAAGUUCUUCUCGGACCGGGAUUGUUAAAUGAGAUUCUGCACAUAGCACAAUAAAGCUUUCAGCAGACCAGCUGCACAAAGCUAAGUGCUACGGAGCACGCAGAGAAGUGUAUUCAGGUUAAUCCAUUUUCUUUAUUGUUAAGUGUGUCAUAGAUUGCUGGGUACUAGACUGCCCACAUAAACAGCCUUUUGUUUGAGUAUCUCCUCUGUUUGGAUCAAUAAUCUUGACUGUUUCUUGCAGACAUUUAAUGUGGCUUUUGCCCUUUCUCCAGACUUAAGCUCUUACCUCUCCCUGGGUGGGUUGGUUUGGAGUAAGGAUAUUGAAUUUCCAAGUAUCUCUCUGUUGUGGUUGAUGCAAUGGGGUAGGUGCAGGGCAGUUAAAACCAAGGUGCUGUGGGUUAAACCACAGAGCCUAGGGGCUUGCCGAUCAGAAGGUCGCCGGUUCGAAUCCCCAUGACGGGGUGAGCUCCCGUUGCUCGGUCCCUGCUCCUGCCAACCUAGCAGUUCGAAAGCAUGUCAAAGUGCAAGUAGAUAAAUAGGUACCACUCCAGUGGGAAGGUAAACGGUGUUUCCGUGCACUGCUCUGGUUCGCCAGAAGCAGCUUAGUCAUCCUGUACACCGGCUCCCUCGGCCAAUAAAGCGAGAUGAGCGCCGCAACCCCAGAGUCGGUCACGACUGGACCUAAUGGUCAGGGGUCCCUUUACCUUUAUAUAAUUCUCAAAGGUCAAUACUGUAAGACACAUCUUUCCACAUUCUGGACAAGAAGCUCAAGAAGAAAGGUAGGACACCACAGAGAGAUCCAAAAUAGCAAUAGGAAUGGAAAUUAUUUUUGCAGGGUCAUAGCACCCCUUCAAGGUUCACUCCUUGCUUAAAGGAGCAGCCACCAUGCCCCUCACUUGGUAUUCAUUUUCUUGGACAGUGGUACCUUGGUUUACAACCAUAAUCCGUUCUGGAGGUCCGUUUGUAAAUCAAAACAGGUUGUAACCCAAGGCGCGCUUUCGCUAAUGGGGCCUCUAAAAAAAUUUGUUCGUAAUCCAAAAUAAUAAUAAUAAUAAUGGGUUGCAAUAAAAAGAAACGUUUGCAAACCAGGACAUGCACUUCCGGGUUUGAUGUGCUUGUAAUCCAAAACGUAUGCAAACCAAGUCGUAUGCAAACCAAGGUACCACUGUAUUGUAUCACCUUACAGGUAGAGUGAUGAGAUGGCAUGGAAAUGCAAAGCGUUCCUGGUGUGGAAAGGGAUGGUUUUGUAGAAAAUGCAAGUUUGGAGGUUGCUGAAUCUGGUGGUCCCAGUUCUGGGUUUCUGCCUCAAAGAGCUCCAGUGUGAUAGAUAGGUUCAGUCUAUAUGACUCACGUCCAGAAAAACAGAUGGUAAAGGGCUUAUUCCUCCUACACUCAAAUUAUGCCAUUAAAAGCCAUGGCCUGUAGUAAUAUCUAUAGAGAUUUAUACUUGUAUAUGAAGUUCAUUUCGCUGUAGCAGGUAAUUGGCUGUUUCCCAUGAGCCUCCAUUUUGCAUCUCGCUUCCCCCCACCUCAGCCCCUGUUCUGUACCUGGCUCCAUUUGGAGGGUCUCAGCGAUCUAGAAAAAAACAAAACAAAACAAAGCAGAUCUUAUAAGCUUGAAGUCUCUUUGCCCUGAUCUACUCUUGGUAGCCUCUGAAAACAAUACCAAACAAAUCAUAAAAAUAAGCCCUUCAUAUUUAAAACAGCAAACAAAACUUGAACGAAUUUAUAUGUUCAAUCAUUUAAAUGGGUGCGAGCUCGCAUUUGCUUCUGGCAGACCAGUUUUGGAGGAGCUGGAUCUCCUAGCAUGACUGAAAUAAUGAUGAGUGGCAGGCCCCUGUUUUCCUAAGUUUGUUUCUGUUUCCCCUGCUGUCUGGAAUAAGUUCUGCUUUAAUGCCCCCAUCUGGUUUCUGUGCCUUCUUGAAAACCUUCUUCACACAUUUGCAGAAAUCUUCUCUGUCUGAGUUAAGAAAUGGCUCCUUUCUUAUUUUGUUCGAAAUAGAACUAUGAAUGGGCAUGCACUUGGUGUGUGCGUGUGUGUGUGUGUGUGUGUGUGUGUGUGUGAAACAAUUUCAUAUGGAAUAACUAUGUGCACCUUAUUUCUUGCUCCCUCUUUCAACGAAACAAGUUAAGACAAAGGCUUGGAAGGUGAUCUUAGUGUGUGAUGAACUCAGGCAUAACAGCACAGUGUGCCACAAUCACAACCACUGUUGCCAUGUGACGAUUCCAGUCCCAACCGCCACAAAACUCACAUAAACAAAACUUAUGUCUAAAUACAGUGGUACCUCAGGUUACAUACACUUCAGGUUACAUAUGCUUCAGGUUACAGACUCCGCUAACCCAGAAAUAUUACCUCAGGUUAAGAACUUUGCUUCAGGAUGAGAACAGAAAUCGGGCUCCGGUGGCGCGGCAGCAGCAGGAGGCCCCAUUAGCUAAAGUGGUGUUUCAGGUUAAGAACAAUUUCAGGUUAAGUGCAGACCUCCGGAACGAAUUAAGUACUUAACCUGAGGUACCACUGUAAAUUCCAGUUAGAAAACAGCCCCCCCAAUACAAUACUAGAAAUUGUGCUAAGUAUAAGAAGCCGUACUCUAUAGGCUGCCCCUGUGUCUUAUUGUAGAGAAGAAAGCCAUCUUCUUUCUUGAAGGAGUCCUCUGUCUGAAAGGUUGCCUGGUCCAGAAAGCCAAGAGAUAUUCAAGUGUAGUUAAACAAGCAGAAUCAGGAAAGCUGUUAGUGGUAAGAAGGUUUAUUUCAGAAAAUGGAGGUGUUGCCCAAAUGAGGAGAGUCACUAGGUUAAAGGCACAACACAGAUCCCCACCCUUGAGUUACAGGGAUGGCAAGGGAGUCAAACGUGUGUUAAAGGAGCAAAAGGAGACGACCGAGACACUGAGUGAAUUCUUUGGAUCUUCGUUUUGGAAGAUGUAGGACAGAUCCCUGUGCCUGUAAUUUUCUCAGGAACUGAGGCAAAUACUGUUGACAACAGCAAAGUUCUAGGCCUUGCUGACAAACUUAAAAAAUAACCAAUCAUUGAGUUCAUAUGGCAUCUGCCCAAAAGUCAUUAAAGAACUUAGAUGUGGAGAUGCUGAUCUUCCAACAAAAUUGCCAGAAGCUCGGCGGUUCGAAUCCCCAUGAUGGGGUGAGCUCCUGUGGCUCUGUCCCAGCUCCUGCCAACCUAGCAGUUUGAAAGCACGCCAGUACAAGUAGAUAAACAGGUACCGCUGUAGCAGGAAGGUAAACAGCCUUUCCGUGUGCUCUGGUUUCCGUCACGGUGUCCCAUUGUGCCAGAAGCUACUGUUAGGUCCAUCAUGAGAUGUCUGCCAGCUUCUAAUCACGGAUACCAGCAGCCUUCAAUCAAGCAAACUUGCCUUAUUAUUCCUCCUUAGCAUCCCACUGCCAGAGGAUUGCCUCCUGCCAUUCACACUUUUCCUCCUCCAAGUGGAAGAAACCUGGGCAGUGCUGAAUGUCACAUCCAUUGCCAGGUGUGUCCUGCUGGAAACAGAAAAGGGAUUUCCCUUGGCCUGCCUGUAUAUCCACUCAGUUGCCAAGUGCUUUUGUGACAUCACAAGAAACCCACAACCAAUGGCAACAGCUGGGGAGGCAUUGUCUUCAUUGCUUUGAGCCUUACAAUGGCAGGUGGACCUAUCAAUGAUUGUGUGCUUGUUUAUUCAGGACAUGGGUGGAGCUGUGGUCUAAACCACUGAGCCUCUUGGGCUUGCCGAUCAGAAGGUUGGUGGUUCAAAUCCCUGCGAUGGAGUGAGCUCCUGUUGCUCUAUCCCAGCUCCUGCCAACCUAACAGUUCGUAAGCAUGCCAGUGCAAGUAGAUAUAUAGGUACUGCUGCAGAGGGAAGGUAAACGGCGUUUCCAUGCACUCUGGCUUCCAUCACGGUGUCCCGUUGCACCAGAAGCGGUUUAAUCCUGCUGGCCACAUGACCCGGAAAGCUGUCUGUGGACAAACACUGGCUCCCAUGGCCUGAAGUGAAAUGAGUGCCACAACCCCAUAGUUGCCUUUGACUGGACUUAACUGUCCAGGGGUCCUUUAUCUUUUUUUACCUUAGAAUCCUGAAAGGCACCAGCCGUGCAAGAGCUACACGUGUGCAGAGGUGCUAGUGGGGAAGGGGAAGGGGGGACUGUUCCCUCAACAGAGCUGGCCUUAUCAAACAGCAGCAAUGGCAUCAGGCAGUGCAGGGGGAGGGAUGGCAAAUUUGUGGCUCCCAGACUACUACUCAGUUGUCUCUGCUGGAGUCCCCCUGUGGCUCUCCGGAGCCUUCUCCUGACCCUACUUCAUACCACCCCAUCCAGCGGAGAGAGUGGUACAGCCUAGAUCAGGCAUAGGCAAAUUCGGUGUUAUGUUGUGGGUGAACAUAUCAGAUGACACAGAGAUUCUUCAAACAGCUCUUGUUUAUUCACAGGCCAGAACAGAACUGAACUGAAGGGUUCAGCCAGCCUGCGUAUAUAGUGCUCCACUAGAACGCAACAGUAACCAUUUUCUGUAACUAUCCAAUCACUGAACGUUACUUUCAAUCCCUUAUUUGCAUAUGUGGACCUGAGUGAAAACUAUCUACAGUAUCGCCCUGCUGCCCCAGGGUGAGAACUUCAGUACAUAACACUCAGGACCAGCGUUCAGGGAGGAUGGGAGUUGUAGUCCCAAAACAUCUGGAGGGCUGACUUUGCCUAUGCCUGGCCUAGAGCAUCCUGUUCUCACAGUGACCAAGCGGAUGGCCGUGGGAAACCCGCAAGCGGGAUUUGAGCACAGGAGUGCUCAAACCCUCCUGUGGUUUCCAGCAAUUGGUAUUCAGCAGCUCUAGUGCCUCCAGUGUGGAGUCAGAGCAGAGCCGUCAUGGCAAGUAGCCUUCAAAAGUCCUCCAUGAAUUUCUCCAAUUCUCUUUUAAAGCCAUUACCUUCUCUGGUCGGGGUGAGUUCCAUAGUUUAACUAUAUGCUGUAUGAAGAAGUAUUUUCUCCUAUCUUUGCUUCUUUCUUUUAUUUCAUCUACGGCUCACUUUUCAUUAGGCAUUCCAAAGCAAUUUGCAACGCAACAGAACAGUGACAUAUCUAAAAAUGGUUAAAACACUUGCAUAUAAAGAAAUAAUUUAAAAAUGAUUCUAAAUAUCAAAACAAAUACUGAUAAAAAAGCAAUACUGAAGGUGAAUUUCAUUCAUUGCUGAAAUAUUAAAAAGCCCCAAAAGGACUGCAUAUCUGGUUACUAAAUUGCAGUUAACUUGAAAGUUCCACUUCAAUACCUUAUUUCCCAAUAUGCCUUCACAAUUCAUCCGAGACGCCUGCAAUAGAUAUUGCAUCAUGAAAUAAAAAAGAAAGACAACUGUCCUUCAAAAUCUGUACUUUGCCGAAUUCUGAGCUGCAGAUCUCUAACAAAACAAAAAGUGUACAAAAACGUACUAUGGGAUAAUAUGCACAAAGAUGCAUGUAUUGGGGGGGAAAUACAGAAAAAUACAUCAUAUUAGGAAAUGUCUAUAUCAACUUACGCAAAAUUGCAUGCAAAAUAUGUAUAUUAGGAGAAACGCACACUAAAUGCUAACAAAUUCCAUGCAGACUUUUUUUAAAAACAUGCAGCAAAUUGAAUUUAUGAUUGGGAAAGAGAGAAAUCGAGAGAUUUAUCCAGCCCUAUUCAAGAGUUCACUGUUGUUGUUGUUUUUAAAGUAACACAAUGUCUGGUGAAAUAAGGCUUUAGAGCAGGCUUUGAACAGCUCCCUGGCAAAGGCAUCCCAAACAGAAAAUGCUUAAUCAUCAUGACUGAAUCUGCCUACAGAAACUUUUAUGGGAAGACAGAAGAGGAGCAAUACAGCAGUAGGUUGUCACUAAGCAAACAACUGCAGGAAUGAAUGGCUUAAUGAGUAUUGGCUGCAAUGUUGCCAGGUAAGCAAAUAAGUGAUCAAAGCAGAAGGAGCCAAGUCCGAGGUAGACACAGGUUAAGAAGGAGAAGUGUGUGGCAAUCAAUAGCAAAACAUGGUGCCAAAUGACUGCCGUAGUCCCAUGCACCUGCCAAUAUGUGGCGACGAAGCAUUAUUUAGAAUGGAAAAUGAAUCAGUAAAGGGGAGGAAAGUCUUCUGUGCUCUCAAAAAUAUGCAGCAUUUUGCAAAUGCCAUUGGAGUGGGAUAUGGCUAACCUGUGAAUUCAAAAAUAGGACAGAACUAAAUAAUUGAAAAACAGAGGUGGGUGGUUGUUGUUUUUAGAAAAGGGGGGGGGAGUCAGUGAUCUCCCACACCACAGGCCAAUCCCGACAAGCUAUGCAUUUUUAUCUUCUCUUGAUUACACUGGCAGCAUUGACACAGCUAAGCAUAUCCUGAAUGGGAUUUGAAAGAAGGCAUACUCUUUAAAUCCCUUUCAGGAGUGCACAAAUUAAAAGGGGUAUAGAAAAGGAUGUCCUUACAGUCAGAAGGUUUUUAGUCUUCUUUUGCUGAAGCUGUGGACAAGUCUUUCAAGUGAUAGGCUGGUAGGCCUUGGUGCAAGCAAAUUGACUUGCGGUAUUCCAGUCUAAACCACUGAGCCUAGGGCUUGCUGAUCAGAAGGUUGGUGGUUCAAAUCCUCACAAUGGGGUGAGCUUCCGUUGUUCAGUCCCAGCUCCUGCCAACCCAGCAGUUCGAAGGCAUGUCAAAGUGCAAGUAGAUAAAUAGGUACCACUCCGGCGGGAAGGUAAACGGCGUUUCCGUGCACUGCUCUGGUUUGCCAGAAGCGGCUUAGUCAUGCUGGCAACAUGACCCAGAAGCUGUCUGCGGACAAACGCCAGCUCUCUCGGCCUAUAGAGCGAGAUGAACACGAAACCCCAGAGUCAUCCACAGCUGGGGUCCCUUUACCUUUAUUCCAGUCCACAACCUGAACAGGCAGAUUUGUUGCUAGAUAUGUAUGUGAAUUCUCAAGACCUUGAGAUUUUCUUCCGGUUUCCUCAUCUAACAAAGGGAAGUGAGUAGCUGCAAGGGAAGAGGGCCUUUUCAGUGGUGGCGCCCUGCUAGAGCAAAAUUUGAGUAAAAUCAGUACAGUUUUGAAAGGGUCAGUCUGCUGUCUAAUUGGUAUCCAACAGACAAAUACCAACUCCUUGAUCUCAGGAACCUUCAUGCAAAAUUUGGCGAUGAUGCAAACAACUUUCCAAAAUAUUGAUGCAGAUGAACCAGAAUGAUGUUCAAAACAGAAAUAGGAUAUAUUAAUAAUCAUAUAGAAACCUAUUAAAAUAACAUGAUAUUAUUCUGAAAUUAACAGUGACCAGACCAAAAUUAUCCUUCUGGGAAGGCCAGUUGGAAUUAAAAAUGGCAUUAAUAGGUCCUGAUACCCAUUGCUGUCCACAGCAUAUAUGUAAAUAUUAGUUUUAUACAAGAUCUCAUAAUAUGCAGUGACCUGUCAUUCAGAUGGAUGAGGAAAGAGGAAGAUUUACUGUUAGAUCUCAGAAACAUUGAAAUGAAGAACUUCAUAGACUGCGAUUCCUGCUAAAGAUUAAUUCAAUUCAGUAAAGGCUAAGAUACACUAGAUACAAUUUUCAAUAGAAGAUUAAGGAGAAGAAACAAAUAUGAGACAGCAAUAUGAUUUAUUCUUUCCAAACAUUAUUCUGAAAUUAGAGUUAGUCAUGGCUCAGUAGCAUCAUAUAAAUGGAACAACUUGCUUGGAGAACCAUUUAUUCUAACAAAUGAGUUGAGCUAAAGGGAAGUCUUAGAAAGGUUUUCAGACUGGUUGAUAAUCCUUACGGUUUUAGCAGGGCUGAACAGUUGUGUUGAAGCCAUGCCAAAGUUUCUCAAAAUUAGACUUUGGUUCAGAUGUAAUGGGAAAUGCAUGAAACUCAUUUCUUAUUGCUUUCCUAGCAGUGAGAACAAUCAAACAGAGACAAAAGUGUUUGCUGGGGAAGUCACAUGAGGGAGAAAAGAAAAGCUUUCCUACCCGAAGCUAUCACUACCCUAAGGAGUCUCAAAGCGACUAACAUUCUCCUUUUCCACUUCCUCCCCCACAACAAACACUCUGUGAGGUGAGUGAGAGACUUCAGAGAAGUGUGACUGGCCCAAGGUCACCCAGCAGCUGCAUGUGGAGGAGCGGAGACGCGAACCCGGUUCACCAGAUUACGAGUCUACUGCUCUUAACUACUAUACCACACUGGCUCUCUGAUGAUGAUGAUGAUGAUGAUGAUGAUGAUGAU